UACGUAGGGGGCAAGCGUUGUCCGGAAUUAUUGGGCGUAAAGAGCGUGUAGGCGGUCCGAUUAGUCUGCUGUGAAAGUCCAGGGCUCAACCCUGGAAUGCCGGUGGAUACUGUCGGGCUAGAGUCCGGAAGGGGCGAGUGGAAUUCCUGGUGUAGCGGUGAAAUGCGCAGAUAUCAGGAGGAACACCAAUGGCGAAGGCAGCUCGCUGGGACGUGACUGACGCUGAGACGCGAAAGCGUGGGGAGCAAACAGG
rnacentral:rRNA from 1 species